rnacentral:misc_RNA from 1 species
UUUCCGUAGGUGAACCUGCGGAGGGAUCAUUAAUGAGUUGUCAUGGGGUUCGAUGCUGGCAGCCAGUUUUUGGAUGCAUGUGCUUGCCCUAACAAUCAUCUUCUUCCAAACACCUGUGCACAUUUUUGAGGGAGUCUUGAGUUGGUUGCCGCUCUUGGGUGAUUUUCUCACAUUCCCUUAAAUCAUUAUACGCUAUUAACAAUGUUGAACGUGCUCUGUGCCGCAAGGCCAUUAAUAUAAUACAACUUUUAACAACGGAUCUCUUGGCUCUC